AGGGAGAGAGAGAGAGAGAGAGAAAAGUAACCCUAAAAGCAGGAACAGUGGGCUCGCCUUCUGACUUCCACUAGCACAUUCCAGACGUAUAAACAAAUGAAAAAGUUAUAACAGCAAUCAAAUGAGCUCCACUAACUUCUAUUUUAAAAAAGAAAAAAAAAAUAGAAUCACUACAAUUAUUUUCUUUUCCUUUUCCUUCAAUAACAAUAAAAAUUAAAAG
rnacentral:misc_RNA from 1 species